rnacentral:rRNA from 2 species
AACGCUAGCUACAGGCUUAACACAUGCAAGUCGAGGGGCAGCAUGGUCUUAGCUUGCUAAGGCCGAUGGCGACCGGCGCACGGGUGAGUAACACGUAUCCAACCUGCCGUCUACUCUUGGACAGCCUUCUGAAAGGAAGAUUAAUACAAGAUGGCAUCAUGAGUCCGCAUGUUCACAUGAUUAAAGGUAUUCCGGUAGACGAUGGGGAUGCGUUCCAUUAGAUAGUAGGCGGGGUAACGGCCCACCUAGUCUUCGAUGGAUAGGGGUUCUGAGAGGAAGGUCCCCCACAUUGGAACUGAGACACGGUCCAAACUCCUACGGGAGGCAGCAGUGAGGAAUAUUGGUCAAUGGGCGAGAGCCUGAACCAGCCAAGUAGCGUGAAGGAUGACUGCCCUAUGGGUUGUAAACUUCUUUUAUAAAGGAAUAAAGUCGGGUAUGUAUACCCGUUUGCAUGUACUUUAUGAAUAAGGAUCGGCUAACUCCGUGCCAGCAGCCGCGGUAAUACGGAGGAUCCGAGCGUUAUCCGGAUUUAUUGGGUUUAAAGGGAGCGUAGAUGGAUGUUUAAGUCAGUUGUGAAAGUUUGCGGCUCAACCGUAAAAUUGCAGUUGAUACUGGAUAUCUUGAGUGCAGUUGAGGCAGGCGGAAUUCGUGGUGUAGCGGUGAAAUGCUUAGAUAUCACGAAGAACUCCGAUUG